AAAAGGCCUGCCGCUUCGCCUUGCGCCACACACGUUCGCGUCGCCGCAGUUACUCCUCCGCGAAAUAAUGGCGGCGACACACGGCGCUCUCCUCACCUCCGGCGAUGCCUAUAGGCGACGGCAAUGGCGCCCUGUUGUGCCUGUCUGUGCUCCCCCGCACUACGGACGACACUCCUCCUCCUCGGCCUGCUCGCCUCUUCCCCCUGCCGUCUCCUCUCCUCCAUCGCUCGCGCCGCGCCGCGCUCGUGGAGCGGAGUCGCGGAAGUAUCCGGAGACACCGCGCGGCACGCGCCGAAUCCGGCCGUGGCCCGAUUGGCCGAGCAUUGAAGCGCGGACUGCAUCAUCCAAACACCACUACCUGUCGUUGCCAACGACAACCAGCGAUCCUACAGUUAACCUCGGUGGAUGUCCUUGAAUUUGCAUUCCCUGGUAACCUCUGUGAAACUUUGUGCUCUGUUGGCUGUUGCACUUGAAAAUGGGUGCGGCGUCUUCUACGAUUGAAGACGACAAGGUCCUUGUGUUAUGCCAGGAGAGGAAGCGUUUUGUUAGAGAGGCACUUGAUGGAAGAUGUGCGCUUGCAUGUGCUCACCAUGAUUAUACUGUGUCACUUAGAGACACGGGAUCUUUUCUGAGAAAAUGUUUUGAAGGAGAGAAGUCUCUUGCAGCUGCAAAUGAGGAGGGUCAUGUUGCAGAUUCAGAAGAUGGUUUCGACAAUUCGUCCACUGAAACUUUGGGACAGGUGUACUCUAACACCAGAUAGUGUAGCUUCAGAAAAUAUUGCUUCAGCAGACAGGCUCAAAGGCAAGAGGAGAAUAAUAGGUGUUAUCACAAUUGAAAAUGAUGAAAUUCCUCCCAUCCCCCUAGUUAAUGUGGUCCCAUCAUCUGUGGCUGCUCGCACUAUGGACUCCCAGAAACCUUAUCCUGAAGUAAAGAAUGUGGUGAAGGACUUAUCUUCAUGCAUGAAAGAGGUUGAGAUAUUAUUCUUUAGGGCAUGUGAUUCUGGGAAACAAGUUCCAAUGAUUCUGGAAGAAGAUAAAAUCCAGUUCCGCCCUCUACUACCUGAAGAAAUAGCACAAGGAUCAAAGGUAUCAAAUUUUCUUGCGACCUUGUUUGCUGCAGGGAGGAAGUUUCUGUUCCUAAACCCCCUCCUCAAGCUGAGCUAAAGUACCUUACCUGGCAUAGAUCAGUGUCUUCACAACUGUCGCCAUCCACGAAUCCUCUUGGGACUAUGCUUGACAUCCAUACAUCAACGCCAGAUAGAUUGUAUGCAUGGGAAACAAAGCUUUAUGAUGAAGUUAAGGCCAGCAGCUCCAUCUGCAGGAAGUAUGAUGAGAAAUGUAAGCAACUGAGAGACCAGGAGUCGCGAGGGAAAAAACAAAUCAUCACCGAUUUUACCCGUGCUGCAGUAAAAGACUUGCAUUCCAGAAUCCAAGUGGCUAUUCAGAAAAUAGAUCUCAUUUCGAUGAACACAGAAAAUCUAAGGGAUAAAGAGCUUCAACCACAGCUGGAUGAGCUAAUUGAGAGUUUCACCAUGAUGUGGACAACCAUGCAUCAGUGCCAUCGAUUUCAGCACUCGAUCAUCAAAUCACUAUCCAGCAGCUGCAAACUAGAAACACCGCUCGACUCUGAGCCUUGACGCCAAGCCGACCUCCUUGUGUCGAUCGAACUCGGCAAACUACGUUCAGACCUCCGAAACUGGAUCGCAUCCCACAGGGCCUACCUGGGCAGCCUCAACCUGUGGCUGCACAAGUGCAUGAAGCCUCUGAGGAAGAGGAAGAGCUCCAGGAAGCAAAACGCCGCCGCCGCCGUCGACGUCUCUGACGGAGUGCGCCGUCGCUUCCAUGUUCGCCAUGUGCGAGACCUGGAUGAAGCUGCUGGACGAUCUGCCGACCGGGGACCUGGAAGAGGCCAUCGAGGGUCUCGUUGCAGAUGUAAGCAGUAAGCUGCCACCUGCCACGAAUGCGGAGCAACGCCUCGACGAGUCGAUAACAAAUGGUGGAACGGAGGAAGAGGUUCCUAGAAACGAUGCCGCUGCCGAUUUACGAUCGAGCCUCGUGGUGUUCGUGGAGAAGCUUCAGUCUUUCUCGGAGAUAUCAGGUGCAGAAAUACCUAGAUCUGCAGAAAGGCGUCGGUGCGGCCAAAGACAGGCUUCUGAAACAUGAAACAGGCUUGAGAUACUGACUGCAGGUGUAUAGUAUCUCGGCCGGGUGAAACACGGCGACUUCAUCAUUGCAAGUUUCCAAGUAAAAGUAAAUAAAAUGGUCGCUCCUCGUGUAAAAUCUGAACCUUGCUCGGUGUGAGCAAAAUCUGUAAAAUGUGACCUUGCUAGCUGUGACCAUAAUCUGUAAAAUGACUAUUCUGUCGAGCGGAGACAGCGAAAUAAGAACUUUCGAAGGCGACAUGGUUUUAAAA